AAGCGAAAGUGACGGUACCUGCAGAAAAAGCACCGGCUAACUACGUGCCAGCAGCCGCGGUAAUACGUAGGGUGCAAGCGUNGUNCNGGAAUUAUUGGGCGUAAAGAGNUCGUAGGCGGUUUGUCGCGUCUGCUGUGAAAUCCCGAGGCUCAACNUCGGGCUUGCAGUGGGUACGGGCAGACUAGAGUGCGGUAGGGGAGAUUGGAAUUCCUGGUGUAGCGGUGGAAUGCGCAGAUAUCAGGAGGAACACCGAUGGCGAAGGCAGAUCUCUGGGCCGUAACUGACGCUGAGGAGCGAAAGCAUGGGGAGCGAACAGGAUUAGAUACCCUGGUAGUCCAUGCCGUAAACGUUGGGCGCUAGAUGUAGGGACCUUUCCACGGUUUCUGUGUCGUAGCUAACGCAUUAAGCGCCCCGCCUGGGGAGUACGGCCGCAAGGCUAAAACUCAAAGGAAUUGACGGGGGCCCGCACAAGCGGCGGAGCAUGCGGAUUAAUUCGAUGCAACGCGAAGAACCUUACCAAGGCUUGACAUACACCGGAAACGGCCAGAGAUGGUCGCCCCCUUGUGGUCGGUGUACAGGUGGUGCAUGGUUGUCGUCAGCUCGUGUCGUGAGAUGUUGGGUUAAGUCCCGCAACGAGCGCAACCCUCGUUCUAUGUUGCCAGCGGGUUAUGCCGGGGACUCAUAGGAGACUGCCGGGGUCAACUCGGAGGAAGGUGGGGAUGACGUCAAAUCAUCAUGCCCCUUAUGUCUUGGGCUUCACGCAUGCUACAAUGGCCGGUACAAAGGGCUGCGAUACCGUAAGGUGGAGCGAAUCCCAAAAAGCCGGUCUCAGUUCGGAUUGAGGUCUGCAACUCGACCUCAUGAAGUCGGAGUCGCUAGUAAUCGCAGAUCAGCAACGCUGCGGUGAAUACGUUCCCGGGCCUUGUACACACCGCCCGUCAAGUCAUGAAAGUCGGUAACACCCGAAGCCGGUGGCCUAACCCUUGUGGGAGGAGCCGUCGAAGGUGGGAUCGGUGAUUAGGACUAAGUCG
rnacentral:rRNA from 1 species